AGUGAACGCUGGCGGUAGGCCUAACACAUGCAAGUCGAACGGCAGCACAGGAGAGCUUGCUCUCUGGGUGGCGAGUGGCGGACGGGUGAGGAAUACAUCGGAAUCUACUCUGUCGUGGGGGAUACCGUAGGGAAACUUACGCUAAUACCGCAUACGACCUACGGGUGAAAGCAGGGGACCUUCGGGCCUUGCGCGAUUGAAUGAGCCGAUGUCGGAUUAGCUAGUUGGCGGGGUAAAGGCCCACCAAGGCGACGAUCCGGAGCUGGUCUGAGAGGAUGAUCAGCCACACUGGAACUGAGACACGGUCCAGACUCCUACGGGAGGCAGCAGUGGGGAAUAUUGGACAAUGGGCGCAAGCCUGAUCCAGCCAUACCGCGUGGGUGAAGAAGGCCUUCGGGUUGUAAAGCCCUUUUGUUGGGAAAGAAAUCCAGCUGGCUAAUACCCGGUUGGGAUGACGGUACCCAAAGAAUAAGCACUGGCUAACUUCGUGCCAGCCGCCGCGGUAA
rnacentral:rRNA from 1 species